rnacentral:lncRNA from 1 species
GUUGGGAUUGUGAAAUCCCGUGUCCAACUCUAUCUUAUCUUAUUAGUACGAUAUUGUCCACUUUGGGCCUUAGAGACUGGUCCGCAUGGAUUUACUUUUGGUUUCCUUCCCAAAAGGCCUCGUACUAUUAGAGUUGGACAUAUCUUUAUAUAUUAGACUUUCCUUUGUCUAAUAUCCGAUGUGGAACUUAACUUGUUAUCUCACAUUCUCUCCCUCAAGCUAAGGACCACAUUCAUCUCGUAUGUUUCCUUCGGCGAAUCAUCUUCGGUAACACCUUGUACCAGUAAUCGCAGGGCUUUCUUUUUAGAAUGUUUCUCCCACAACACAUCACAGGUUCCAUGAUCUUCUGACGUUUCUGCAACAUACCUUCUCUUUCUUUUUCUACCCGUUUUUACUUAAAGGGUAUUUUAGUCUUCUUGCAGAUUUCUCGUCAACCUGGCUCUGAUACCAAUUGUUGGGAUUGCUGAUCUCAUUUUUUUCUAACAUAACUAUUUUAAAAGUUUCUCAUUCUUUGUUGGGAUUGUGAAAUCCCGUGUCCAACUCUAUCUUAUCUUAUUAGUACGAUAUUGUCCACUUUGGGCCUUAGAGACUGGUCCGCAUGGAUUUACUUUUGGUUUCCUUCCCAAAAGGCCUCGUACUAUUAGAGUUGGACAUAUCUUUAUAUAUUAG